ACACCGGACCACCUCAUUGCACAGAUAGCCCAGACUCAGCCCAGCGCUGCAUCCACCACCAGUGCCCAGUCUCAGCAGGCAGCCCCUGCAGCAGACCUAUGCCUCUGCAGUAAAAACUCCAGCCCCCACCAGCAUUACAGACCUGGGAGAGAUCAAACAGCUACUCAGUCUCAUAUGCAACAGACUGCUGAGCUAAGUGAUGUUCAUAAUUACUAAGUAAAUAAAUAGCAUACACACUAUAUACAAUUGUAAUUAAAUAUCUUGUUAAUGGCCUUUUAAAGCUAUUUGUAUUUGUAUUUUCUCUUUCUAUAUCUCACACACAUUUAAAGAAUGAAACCUUAUCUAUCUCUUCAUGGAACAUUCAGGGCAUAAAGUCAUCACUAUUUGGAUACAAAAGUAAAAACAAAGAAUUCACAAACAACACAAAGGACAUCGACAUUAUAAUUCUCCAGGAAACCUGGUGUAAAUCUGAAUCCAUCGCUCACUGUCCCACAAACUAUAAAGAAAUAAUCAUCCCCUCUGUUAAACACUCUCAUAUUUAAAAAAAGGUAGAGAUUCAGGUGGAAUUAUAAUUUGGUAUAAAUCAGAGCUAUCAGAAUUCAUAACCCCUCUAAAAUUAGAAAAAUCACAUAUUUGGCUGAAGAUUAAGAAAGGAAUCACAAACACGUCAAAAGACAUUUUUUUAUGUACAGUCUACAUCCCUCCCAGUGAAUCCCCUUAUUAUGAUGACAUCUUCCCCAGUCUGCACGAUCAGAUCAGCAGCUUCCAGGCCCAGGGAAGUGUGUGGGGACCUGAAUGCUCACACUGGAUCUCUACCUGACCUCAAUACCGAGCAAGACGCUGAUCCAGUUCAGCUCCUGCUCACCUGGGCGCGCGCACCAACCAACGCCCAGCAGCUCUGAACUACGGAAAGAGAAAAGGUUCAAAACACGUUUGUAGGGCUGCGUGUGUUCAUCCAAUUAGCCACGAGCAGCACAGAAAGUAUUGAUCAGUAUGAUUGGAACGGUUGGUGGGAUUAUUAUAAUGUAUUUCACUGAAUCUCAAUGAUGCCGUGUUUAUCUAAAUGUUCAGUUAUUUAUCAAAUAAAUAAAUAAUUGAGUUAUUUAUCAUAAAUAAAUAACAAUAUCAUAAAUAAA